CGAACGGGUGAGUAACACGUGAGCAACCUGCCCCUGACUCUGGGAUAAGCGCUGGAAACGGCGUCUAAUACUGGAUAUGAGCUGCGAUCGCAUGGUCGGCAGUUGGAAAGAUUUUUCGGUCUGGGAUGGGCUCACGGCCUAUCAGCUUGUUGGUGAGGUAAUGGCUCACCAAGGCGUCGACGGGUAGCCGGCCUGAGAGGGUGACCGGCCACACUGGGACUGAGACACGGCCCAGACUCCUACGGGAGGCAGCAGUGGGGAAUAUUGCACAAUGGGCGGAAGCCUGAUGCAGCAACGCCGCGUGAGGGAUGACGGCCUUCGGGUUGUAAACCUCUUUUAGCAGGGAAGAAGCGAAAGUGACGGUACCUGCAGAAAAAGCGCCGGCUAACUACGUGCCAGCAGCCGCGGUAAUACGUAGGGCGCAAGCGUUAUCCGGAAUUAUUGGGCGUAAAGAGCUCGUAGGCGGUUUGUCGCGUCUGCUGUGAAAUCCCGAGGCUCAACCUCGGGUCUGCAGUGGGUACGGGCAGACUAGAGUGCGGUAGGGGAGAUUGGAAUUCCUGGUGUAGCGGUGGAAUGCGCAGAUAUCA
rnacentral:rRNA from 1 species